UACGAAGGGUGCAAGCGUUACUCGGAAUUACUGGGCGUAAAGCGUGCGUAGGUGGUUCGUUAAGUCAGAUGUGAAAGCCCUGGGCUCAACCUGGGAAUGGCAUUGGAAACUGGCGAUCUAGAGUGCGGUAGAGGGUAGUGGAAUUCCCGGUGUAGCAGUGAAAUGCGUAGAGAUCGGGAGGAACAUCUGUGGCGAAGGCGACUGCCUGGACCAGCACUGACACUGAGGCACGAAAGCGUGGGGAGCAAACAGG
rnacentral:rRNA from 1 species